UACGGAGGGUGCGAGCGUUGUCCGGAAUUACUGGGCGUAAAGGGCGCGUAGGCGGAUAGUUUAGUCAGAGGUGAAAGCCCAGGGCUCAACCUUGGAACUGCCUUUGAUACUGGCUAUCUUGAGUUCGGGAGAGGUGAGUGGAAUGCCGAGUGUAGAGGUGAAAUUCGUAGAUAUUCGGCGGAACACCAGUGGCGAAGGCGACUCACUGGCCCGAUACUGACGCUGAGGCGCGAAAGCGUGGGGAGCAAACAGG
rnacentral:rRNA from 1 species